rnacentral:rRNA from 1 species
UUCUUAUAGGUAUAAUUAUAAGUAAAACCUGCUCACAGCUAAAGUAAAAAGCCGCAGUAAAUCUGUGCUAAGGUAGCAUAAUCACUUGCUCUCCAAAUAAGAGAUAGAAUGAAUGGUUAAACGAUUAAUGACUAUAUCAAAAAAACACUAUUAAAUUAAAUAAAAUGUAAAAAUCCAUUUAAUUAAGGGCAGGACGACAAGACCCCGAUAAACUUUACAUUUAGUUGGGGCGACAAUUUAAAAAAACCUUAAUAUACACUAAUUCUGACCUAAUUCAUUAUUUUAGCCUAGUUACUACGGGGAUAACAGCGCUAUCUCUCUUGAGAGCUCAUAUUCAAAGAGAGGAUUACGACCUCGAUGUUGAAUUAAUUUACCUUCAAAAGAGCAAAAACUUUGAAAGACAGUCUGUUCGACUAAUAACUAAUU